rnacentral:rRNA from 1 species
GCUUAAAUAUUAGUCAACGGCCUUCCAUAGUGGAAGCUAAGGUAGCAUAAUUAAUUGCUUCUUAAUUGGUUGCUUGUCUGAAAGGGAUAAUUGAUAAUUUUUUUCUUUUUUUUUUAAUGAAUUUUCUUGUUAGUAAAAAUGCUAGCAUAAAAUAAAAGACGAGAAGACCCCAAAAUUUUUCAUAGAAAUAAAAAAUUUAUGUUUAAUGGGGAAUUUAGCCUUAAGGAUUAAUGGCUUGUAGAGAUAAUGGAGUAUAAGUUACUUUGGGGAUAACAGGGUAAUAUAAAUUAGAGCACGCAUUAAAAUUUAUGUUUUCCACCUCGAUGUUGAAUUAAAGUAAAGGUUACUAUUGUAGAUGGAGUAAUUUUGGGCCUGUUCGGCCUAGGCAACUUUACA